AUUGAACGCUGGCGGCAGGCCUAACACAUGCCAGUCGAGCGGAUGAAGGGAGCUUGCUCCUGGAUUCAGCGGCGGACGGGUGAGUAAUGCCUAGGAAUCUGCCUGGUAGUGGGGGAUAACGUCCGGAAACGGGCGCUAAUACCGCAUACGUCCUGAGGGAGAAAGUGGGGGAUCUUCGGACCUCACGCUAUCAGAUGAGCCUAGGUCGGAUUAGCUAGUUGGUGGGGUAAAGGCCUACCAAGGCGACGAUCCGUAACUGGUCUGAGAGGAUGAUCAGUCACACUGGAACUGAGACACGGUCCAGACUCCUACGGGAGGCAGCAGUGGGGAAUAUUGGACAAUGGGCGAAAGCCUGAUCCAGCCAUGCCGCGUGUGUGAAGAAGGUCUUCGGAUUGUAAAGCACUUUAAGUUGGGAGGAAGGGCAGUAAGUUGAUACCUUGCUGUUUUGACGUUACCAACAGAAUAAGCACCGGCUAACUUCGUG
rnacentral:rRNA from 1 species